GUUGACAGAGCACAAAAAAGACUCCCCAUGGCAUGAUUACUGGAGUACCAUCAACCAGUCUGAUAAAGCCAGGGACUGUGUUAUGAUGGACUUUAGGAACAGAGGGCCAUACAACACCAGGAGACAUAUUGCUUUGCUUUUUAUCUACAAUCUACACUUCCCUUAAGACUAAAGAAGAGUAUCUUGGGGUGAGCAAAUAGAGUGUAAUCAUAAACCAACUUAGCUAGAAGGUCUGCCUAUUCUGCAGCUAAUAGAAUAGGAACUUGAGUUGAGGCAGAAGUGUAUGGCCCUUGCCACACUGCCCAAUAAACUCUAUCUCAAAUCAAGGUAAUAAAAAGGAAUCCAAGUUUCUUUUCGGUGGACAUAAAGACAAGAAUAUAACUGAAAUUCCACUCUUAGUACACCUCUUAAAAUUGUUAAAGAGAUAUCUUAGAGAUGAUUCUCCCAUAUUAUUGUUUUAUCACUUUUAGUGAUACAAAGACUUGCAAUGCCUAACUUCUAUACAACUGAACACUUCAGGAAACUGAGAUAUUCAUUCUUUAAUCUCCUAAUGUCUUACUUAAUAACUUGCUGCCCAAGUAACUGAUGUAAUUUAGCUUUCCAACAUUUAGACAAUUAUGAGUCAAAUGUCUAAGCUAGCAUAAUUCAGGAAACAUUAAUUGAAUUAAUGGUCAUGUUCUAUAAAGUUUUCUAGAAACUAGGUCCUCUAACUUUCUUCUAAUAAUCUUGGCAGGGGGGCCUCCAUUUUAAGAACAUGGAUUUAGGAAGACAUACACGCACUGGCUUCAAUCAAUGUCAACUCUCCAUAUGUUUGCAAUUAACUUUCAGUAGAUAGUCAUUUUGAAAGACUCACUUAUCAACAAAAAUGACAGAAUUCUUUCUAUCCCCAGGUAGCUUAUGUUGAGACCACGCAAUUUGCUCAAGACAUCAUCUCCUUUGCAAAACAUUACACGACUAUGAAAAAGGUCAAGAAUGAAGGUGUAUUUAUAUUAAUUAACACUUCAUAGACAACAGGUCCAGUGCUUACUGUUUCACAGACAUGAAAAUGAAUUUAUUAGUAGCUGGCCUUGGAUUGUUACGAUAUAGCACUGUGGUGCCAAUAGAUAAAAAAUUCUUACUAAAUAAAUAUGUAAUCAAAUGAA